AGGCUUAGUUGAGUUGAGUUGAGCAGAUAUUUUAACAAGGGCUUUAUGAAGUUUUAUAUAAUCAAUGAGUUUUUCAAUUCCAUUACCUUUUUAAAUACUAGGUAGACAAAAAAUGCAGAUAAAAUCACUAGCUACAAAUAGAAGUUUUUUAAGUCCUAAAUGGUGAAAGGUGUUACUUAAAAGUCUUUCUUUGCUAUCACUUUGGUUAGAAACCCCUCUAAACUAGUUGAAACCACUUGUAAACGAUGUAUCUUUUCAUUAAUGAUAAUCUUUUAUCUUUUGUCAAGA
rnacentral:misc_RNA from 1 species